GAUGAAGAACGUAGCGAAAUGCGAUAAGUAAUGUGAAUUGCAGAAUUCAGUGAAUCAUUGAAUCCUUGAACGCACAUUGCGCCCAUUAGUAUUCUAGUGGGCAUGCCUGUUCGAGCGUCAUUAAGUCCACUUAAGCCCUGCUUAGUGUUGGGAGACUGCUCCAGCGGUGCUACCCUGUAGCUACCCUGCAGCUCCUCAAAGACAGCGGCGGAGUUGUGGUAUCCUCUGAGCUUAGUAACUUGUUCUAGCUUUCGAGUACACCACUUCCCCUGCCGUAAAACCCUUAAUUUUUAAUGGUUGACCUCGGAUCAGGUAGGAAUACCCGCUGAACUUAAGCAUAUCAAUAAGCGGAGGA
rnacentral:misc_RNA from 1 species